CGAACANAGCUNGUGUGGUGCCAUGGCUGUCGUCAGCUCGCUGUCGUGAGAUGUUGGGUUAACGUCCCGCAACGAGCGCAACCCCUAUCCUAUGUUACCAGCACGUUAUGGUGGGGACUCAUGGGAGACUGCCAGGACAACCUGGAGGAAGGCGGGGAUGACGUCAAGUCAUCAUGCCCCUUAUGUCCUGGGCUACACACGUACUACAAUGGUCGGCAACAGAGGGAAGCGAAGCCGCGAGGCAGAGCAAACCCCAAAACCCGAUCUCAGUUCGGAUCGCAGGCUGCAACCCGCCUGCGUGAAGUCGGAAUCGCUAUAAUCGCAGGUCACAUACUGCGGUGAAUACGUUCCCGGGUCUUGUACACACCGA
rnacentral:rRNA from 1 species